CUUGGGUGAACUUUUCAAACUCUGAGUACUUUACUCUAGCGAAUCACUGCACUGUUUUCAAAGAAGGAUACUUGAUUCUACAACAUUAAAUUACUUAACAAACAUUUGAAUAUAGUAAGUUUAUUAAACUUGGAACAUUAUUUAAAUUCGAUGCAAGUUAAUUUAAUGAAGGCGCGUGUUUUGUGUUAUUAAUUAGUUUGAAGCGACAAUAUCAUAAUGGAUCUGACCAAUACUCAUAGACGGCGGAAACAGGAGUUAUUUAACCCUGGACACUGGCAUCGUGAUCACCGGUGAGUUUUAAUUAUUUAUAAAUUUUUACCUUCAACUUCCUUUGUCUGGCUUUCACUUUUUUUGGCUUUUAGUAUCCCAAAUGAAGACAAAACCAGAGAAGUUUAUACUUCCGAGACUUUCAUAUAUUGUUUGCCUUGAGUGUCCUUGAUGAAGUUAAAUCAAGAGAAGCUAAAAUUUCCUUGACUUUCAUUUUUUUUUUUGCUUGUACUAGUGUACCCGAUAAAGGUAAAUUAUUCCACUGAAGCGGAUGUUUUCUUGCCUUUCAAUUUUACGUCUUGAGCAUCCAAAUUGAUUUAAAUUCAAAAACUGAUCUAUUAAAUGUUAUUUCAUGCGUUUGG
rnacentral:lncRNA from 1 species